ensembl:miRNA
CUUGGACUCACUUUGUAGCCCAGGCUGUCCUUAAAUUCACAGUGAUCCUCCUGCCUCAGCCUCCUGAGUGCUGGGAU